GAAAUCUAAAGUGUGUCGUUGGAAUGCUGUGUUAAGAAACAGAUCAUACGGAUAUAUGUGACAAAAACAGUCCCGCUGACAAGGAUAUUUUUAUGUAUUUUGUAAGAAGUCGAUCAUUAUAUGGGACUCAUUUAAUGUUCAUGCACAGUCAUCAUUAAGAGCGUGCAAGCUGUUAAUAUGAAAUUGUUGAACCCGGGUAAACCAUUUUGAACCAGGAUAUCAUGGUGGAACGCUAGACAAAAUCUGUAUUAUAAGAAUCGGUUAAUUCUGAACACAGACAAUUUUUAGUGUUUGUUACAUCUCAUUUUGUUUAAGCAACGGUUAUCAAUAAAGCAGAAACGUUUCCCAUCUUUCUGUGAACAAAACGAAGUAGACUUUGAACAUGGAAAUAAGAAGUAGAAGUAGACAGAUUGUAAUCGCUGCAAUUGACUUGGGCACCACGUAUUCAGGGUAUGCUUUCUCAAUGAAACAUGACUGGGAUCAUGUAUUCUCAGAUACUUGGAGUUGUGGC